rnacentral:misc_RNA from 1 species
UAUCCUUAUACAAAAAUGUAUGACCAAAGAUCCGAUUAAAUACGUAUGACGUAUGUCUAUUUAAUUUAAUUUCUACCAAAUGGACCGGUGGGGACAAGGGUUCCGCUAUAUAAAAAGUUUGAGAAACGAUGUACUGGACGGACGUAAAAAGGAUCUAGGGAUAUUGAACAAAUGAGUGGUGGAAGUGUGGGUAGAUAGGGAUGUAUGAUGUAAUUUAUAGUUAUCAUCAUCAAGUGCAGUGCUGUGUAGCGUAGGAGGUCAUGUCCCUCCACCCUUCCCGGUCCCAGACAUUUGAGAUUACAUCAGUCACCCUCUCUUUGUGUAACCAAAUUGUUAAACUGUCCACUCGCUGUCAAACCUCAACUUUUUUUCCCCACAAAUUUUCCAGUUGUCAUCAAGUGUUCCAUCCCUCAUCACAUGACCAAAGAAUGCUGCUUGUCUUUUUCGCACUUUUGUUACCAAUGUUUUCUUUUUGUUUCUGCUUGUCGUAGAACAUCAUCAUAUAUUUUCCAGUCUUUUUAGGAAACUCUAAGCAUUCUACGCAGGAACCAUAUUUCGGUUACAUUGAGUGAUUUUUCAUUUUGUUUGCUUAUUGUCCAGGAUUCGCAACUGUAAAUCAAGAUUGGUGCGAUGUAGCAGCAAAGAACUCUUUUGCGCACUUUCAUUGAUAUAUUUUUGUUAGUCAAUACAUUUUCCAUCUUCAUAAAAGUUGUCUUAUCCUCUGCAGUUUUGCUCUUGACCUCAUUUUGACAUCCGCCAUCUGAUGUAAUCCAUGUCCCUAAGCAUUUGAACUUGUAGAUUUGAUUUAGAAGGGUCCCAUUUAAUGAUAAAGUGCAAUUUGGAUUGUUUUUUUUCUUUGAUAUAACCAUGGUUUCUGUUUUCUUGGUGUUUUGGCUGAGUCCCAUAUUUCCGCUUUCUUUAUUUACAAUGUCAAGUAAGGACUAAAGAUCUUUUUUCGUUCCUGCUAUUAACACUGUGUCAUCAGCAUAUCUGAUAUUGUUUACAUUGUUGCCUCCAAUACUUAUGCCUGGCAUGUCUUCUAUAUCUCUCAUGAUCAUUUCACUGGACAAAGAGAAGAGAUCAGGGCAUAUCACAGAUCCUUGACGGACUCCUCUUUUUAUCUUCUGAAAUUGGCCGUGCUCAUUCUCAACUCUGAUGACUGUUGCUUGUUCACAAUAUAUAUUUUUGAUGGUAAUUUAUAGUACCUUUUCAAAAAAGUUAAUUAUAAAAAAUACUAUCUGCUUUGAAUAGUAAUAGUAUUAAUGGUACUAUGCAGACUAUAUCCGGUUAUUUUUAAACAGGUUGCUUAAGGAUAAUAUUGUGUAAAACUUGUUUAUCAACGAUACACAUUUUUGGGUAUAUUGUUUAUGAUGAUCGAUGUUAUCUCUUUGCCAUUUAAAGUUAUUCAAGUUGAAAUUAUUAAUAUAUAUAAUCUUAUACUUGCCCUCCCCACACCUAGCUGCCAAUAUUAAGGUGGGCCGCUCCCGAUCGAUGAAACUUGCUCUGUCCGUGUGCCUGCAUCAUGACUGGCAGUGUGAUCCCUCACUCUGCCACAGAUACCUCAAAUAAACUUUCUCAUUGCUGCUUGUGACCAAUUCUGUUCAGCUCAAGUGUCCUUCUCUUACAGGGCUACAAGUUCAGUUGACGUUCUUCAGUAAAAAAGUGCAUGAAAUUAUCGCUCAUCCUAAACGUGACUAGAUCAACUUCUGUUCUGUGGAAACAGUCGAUUCAGGGAUACAACACAGUUAACCUUUCGUGUGUCAAAAGAUGUGCGCAGUUAUUCUAAAAAUAGGCUACUCCUUAAGAGUUCGAAGCUCCUAUAUACCAAGCUAAAAUUCAGAUACGACAAAAGUGAAAAUAGCUCUUUAUUAUUAUGCAGUAAGACCGUAGACGUUAUCGGUUAACUUCAGCGAAACGAGAGUUUAAGAGACUGUUGUUUGGAAUACGUCACUCAUCUUUCUCUCCUUUGAGGUCCAAGAUCAUUCAUGAGAGUGAAGAGCUUACUGUUAACCGGUCCUUUCAGAUACCGUAAUAUGGCGGAUGUCGCUAGUGAAUGACGUCAGCGGGUUGGUGCAGCGCAUGAAUUAAUAACGGUAUAUCUAUUGUUUAUGGCGGGUUGGUGUUGGUUUUGUAAACGUUUACACAAUACUUUUACGGAUCUUACGAUGAUAUGCUGUACGUUUUUUACUGUGAUUCUUUUCCUAUCAAAAGGUCGUGGCUCUGUCUUCCCCCCAUUCUGAGGCUCUCUAGCUCGUGCCGACAUGAGCUCCGCUGGGUCGGAUGAUCAGUCAGAUGAGGAGCUGCCUAUAUUCCGUCCCUUCACCAGGGAGUCCUUGGCGGCCAUUGAAACCCGUAUUGCGGAGGAGAUCGCCAGGAAGAAGGAGAUAGCUCAGAGAGCGGAGGAGGGAGUAACGGGUGCAGCGGCAGGUGGCUUAGUGGACACCGAAAUAUAUAGUUCAGCUCACGCGGAGGAGAUUCUAAAACCUGAUCCUAUGCUUGAAGCUGCUAUGCCCUUGCCAAAGUCACUGCAUUCAGAACUACCCCUACAACUGAUUGCCACUCCUAUCGAAGACAUUGAUCCUUACUACGAAAACAAAAUGACGUUUGUUGUGAUCAGUAAAGGUAAAGAUAUCUUCCGGUUCAGUGCCACAAACGCCCUCUGGAUCCUGAGUCCUUUCAAUCCCAUCCGUCGUAUCGCCAUCUAUGUUCUCGUCCAUCCUUUAUUUAGUUUUUUGGUCAUCGUCACCAUCCUCGUUAACUGUGUUCUCAUGACCCUGCCCUCUAAUGAAAAAAUAGAACAGUCUGAAGUCAUCUUCACCUCAAUCUACACCGUUGAAUCCGUUGUAAAAGUGACUGCUCGCGGUUUUAUACUUGAACGAUUUACAUAUCUUCGAGAUCCCUGGAACUGGUUGGAUUUCAUCGUGAUAACUUUAGCGUAUGUGACAAUGGGGGUGGACUUAGGGAAUCUGAGCGCCCUCAGGACAUUUCGUGUCCUUAGAGCCUUAAAAACAGUAGCAAUUGUUCCAGGUCUAAAGACCAUUGUUGGUGCAGUGAUAGAGUCAGUGAAAAACCUCAAGGAUGUCAUCAUUCUAACAGUCUUCUCAUUAUCUAUUUUUGCCUUAUUGGGUUUACAAAUAUAUAUGGGUGUACUAACUCAAAAGUGUGUUGAAAUUCCACCUGCAAACCUAUCUCAUGCAGAAUAUGUAAAAUUUGUAAAUAAUGAAACUUAUUGGUAUGAAGAAAAUGAAAAUUUUCCACUGUGUGGAAACAGUAGUGGUGCAAAAAUCUGCCCAGAAGGAUACGUAUGUCUUCAAGGUAUAGGGGAUAAUCCCAACUAUGGUUACACAAAUUUUGACAAUUUUGGGUGGGCCCUUUUAUCAGCUUUUAGACUCAUGACACAAGACUGCUGGGAGGCUCUAUACCAAAUGGUGCUAAAAUCUGCAGGUCCUUGGCACAUGCUCUUCUUUGUAUUCAUUAUUUUCCUUGGGUCAUUUUAUUUGGUCAACCUUAUCCUAGCUAUUGUGGCCAUGUCCUAUGAUGAUCUUCAGAAGGCAGAAGAAAAAGAAGCAGCAGCUGAAGAAGCUGCAAUAGCUGCAGAAGAGGCAGCAAGACUAGUAGAGGAAGAAGGAGAGAAUGAAGACAAAGCAGAAGGAACAGUUGUUAAAAGUCCAUCAGAGUUUUCUUGUAGGUCUUAUGAACUUUAUGUGGGACAGGAUAAAACAACUGAAGAAAAAGAUAUGAAAGAAAGAGCUAGUAUUAAAAGUGCUGAUGGUCAUAGUGUUAGUGAACAAAAAUAUCGAUUGAAUGGCAGGACUAGUAGGGCAAGUCUCAGUCUUCCUGGCUCACCAUUUCAUCUGCGUAGGGGAAGCAGAGGAAGCCAGUUCAGUUGGCGCAAUGGUGUUCAUCGUUAUGGAGACAAGAAACCUUUAGUGCUUCAGACAUACAUGGAUGCACAAGAACAUCUCCCUUAUGCAGAUGACAGUAAUGCUGUUACACCCAUGUCUGAGGAAAAUGGUGCCAUGAUUAUUCCUAUGUACCCCAACCUGAACUCUAGACAUUCCAGCUAUACAUCUCACUCAUCACGCUUGUCCUAUACUUCCCAUGGGGAUGUUUUUGCCAAGGGUUUUACAAAGGAGAGUCAGCUCAGAUCUCGCUCAAGAAAUCUCCAAGGCCCUUAUUAUGAGGACACUCCAGCGGAAAGUGAAAACUGCUUCUCCAAAAGUAACCAUCAAGAAAAUCCAUUUGUUGAACCCACUCAGCAACAAACUGUGGUAGAUAUGAAGGAUGUGAUGGUUCUGAAUGACAUCAUAGAACAAGCAGCAGGAAAUCAGAGUAAUGCUAAUGAAAGAGUAUCUAUCUAUUAUUUUCCUACAGAGAAAGAGGAGCAGGAGAAGAUAAAGCUCAAAGACCGGUGCUUGGCACAGUGCUUGAAAUGUGUUGACCUCUUCUGUGUUUGGGACUGUUGCUGGUGUUGGAUCCGCUUUCAAGAGUUUGUCUCACUCCUUGUCUUCGAUCCCUUCAUGGAGCUGUUUAUUACAUUAUGUAUUAUAGUCAACACCCUCUUCAUGGCAAUGGAUCAUAACAAUAUGGAUAAAGAAUUUGAAAACGUCUUAAAAAAGGGAAAUUAUUUCUUCACUGCAACCUUUGCUAUUGAAGCUGGUUUGAAACUUAUAGCUCUUAGUCCAAAAACAUACUUCAGAGAGGGUUGGAACAUCUUUGAUUUCAUCAUUGUUGCUCUGUCCCUGUUAGAAUUGACUCUAGAGAAUAUACAAGGGUUAUCUGUGCUCAGAUCUUUUCGACUGCUUCGAGUUUUCAAACUAGCUAAGUCCUGGCCAACAUUGAACCUGUUGAUAUCAAUCAUGGGAAAGACAGUAGGAGCUUUAGGAAAUUUGACCUUUGUCCUUGGAAUCAUCAUCUUUAUAUUUGCUGUUAUGGGAAUGCAGCUGUUUGGGAAGAAUUAUGAUCUAAAAAAACACCUGUUUCCUAAUCAGGAAGUCCCUCGCUGGAACUUCCGAGACUUCAUGCACUCCUUCAUGAUCGUCUUCAGAGUAUUAUGUGGAGAGUGGAUUGAAUCCAUGUGGGAUUGUAUCCUGGUUUCAGGCUGGCCUUGUAUUCCUUUCUUUUUGGCAACUGUUGUUAUUGGCAACCUUGUGGUUCUCAAUCUCUUCCUGGCUUUGUUGCUUUCCUCUUUUGGAGCCUCAAACCUCUCUCAACCAACUUCAGAGAGUGCAGACACCAAAAAGCUACAGGAAGCUAUUGAUAGAUUUCAUAGAGCAUCAGCAUGGAUAAAGAGCAAAAUGUUAACUGUUCUAAAGCUCUUAAGACCGAAAGUAAAUAAUCAAAUUGCAGACCACACAACAAAUAUUCAAGAAGAGAGAGAAGAAAGUUUUCCUAUAGAAGGGCUGUUGAUUGAUGGCCAAGUUCUCAUGAAGGACAACAAAUAUCCAAGUGAGCAUACAGAAAUGGAUAUUAUAGUUGGAGAUGGUUUGGAUGUCACAGUUCGGGAAGAUGGCCAGGCAGUUAAACUUAGGAUGAAUAGCAAACCUAUGGUGAACUCUGUGCCUGUUGGCUCAAAGAUAGACAUCUUAAAUAACAAAAUAGUGAAGGAAAAUGAAGUUAUGGGAAACAGAUCAUGUACUUUAAGGGAAUCUGAUAUACCAGGUCAGAAACCAAACCACAGUCAAAUGGACUGUAAGUCUGAAGUCUUUAUUGUCAGCACGUCAGAUAUAGAGUUUGGUAACUUGUCUCAAUCUAUGUGUAGUGAUGAAGAAAAGAAGGAAACUAUCAAAGAUGAUGAAGAAGACAAUGAAGAACACUUAGAAGAUGGUGAAAUUCUUGAUUCUGAAGACCUUGAAAAGCUUGAUGCUGAAAAUAUUAUUAUUAGUGAACAUCCCGCUGACUGCUGUCCAGACUGUUGUUAUUCACAUUUCUCCUGUUGCAAUGGUGAUGAUGACUCCUUUUUAUGGCAAUAUUACCAACUAUUACGUUCAAAGAGCUAUUGGGUAGUUGAGAACAAGUACUUUGAAACAGUUGUAAUCACUAUGAUCAUGUUAAGUAGCCUUGCAUUGGCAUUGGAAGAUGUACACCUGAAAACCCAGCCUAUACUCAAAGAAGCUUUGGUCAUUAUUGAUAAAUUCUUUACAGUCAUCUUUCUUUUUGAAAUGUUACUUAAGUGGUUAGCAUUUGGUUUCAAAAAAUACUUUACUAAUGCUUGGUGCUGGCUGGAUUUUGUUAUAGUCUUGGUUUCUGUGAUCAAUCUUAUAGCUACAACAGCAGGGGUGGGAAAAAUCCAAGCCUUCAAGACUAUGCGAACUCUGCGUGCUCUGCGACCUUUGAGAGCUCUUUCACGCUCUCAAGGAAUGAGGAUGGUUUUUAUUUGAUCAGAAGCAUAGUUUUACUUUGAGCAAAGUUUUUGCAUCUGAAAUACUGUACUCAACUUUUCAUGUUAUGGGAUAAGGUGGUUGUAAACGCUCUAAUCCAAGCCAUCCCUGCCAUUUUCAAUGUAUUGCUGGUCUGCUUAAUUUUCUGGCUCAUUUUUUCUAUCA